GGAGGGGGUGGGGAGUGGAGUGUUUAACUUUUUUUCCUCGCUUUUAAAGAUUUGAGUUAUUCUCUCCAGCGGUUUUCAAAGACUCAACAGAAAAAAAAAAAAAAAAAAAAAAAAAAAAAAAAAAAAAAAAAAAAAAAACGCGAACGGCACACGCACCCACCCGCGCCGAGCUUCCCCCAGCCCCGGGAGGCGGCGAGGCACGCCUGCGCGGCGAAAGCGGCGGGAAACGCGGCGCUGAGGUGACUGUGGAGAAAAAGCUAUACUGAUUAUUCUCUGUAACCAUAGUUGGAGGAGUAUUUUUAUGGGUGUGAACGUUUUCGAGGAAGAUAUGGUAACCUACAGACUGUUCCUAACAGAAGAAAGAAAACUCUUAACUACUCACAAAUGAUUCUUGUCAGAAUGAAAUUCCUGCAGUUACUGUCCAGGAAACCAAGGAAACUGGAAUUGCUUUUUCAAAUACCUUUUUGCCAAAAGCAAUUCCCACGUAUGUGUCUGGCUACCUCUGCGUGUCUUUAUAGUAAAAAGAAAAAAGCCAACAGUUAUGAACAAGUUGACCAAGAAAAAUACAAGAACUUGGUCUACUCAGUUACAUCUUACAAAACCAGCACUCAAACACCAGAGACAGUACCUGAAGAAGGCAAUUUGUUAAAUGGGCCAUCGAGUAAAUGCAGACCUCCAGUUAAAGCUGAAACAGAAACUCCCAAGAACUGGGUUCCUUUAAUAAACCCCAACAAGAGAGUUCCCCCUCUCAACAGUGAUUCAAACCUCCCUGUGAAAAUUGCUUUACAAAAAACUAAAAUGCCCAGUGUUACCCGUAUUCUUCAGCAGACUGUUUCUCCACAGCAAGCCUUUUAUCUAGAAAGAUGGAAGCAGAAAAUGAUACUGGAACUUGGAGAAGAUGGUUUUGCAGAGUAUACUAAAAAUCUUUUUCUCCAAGGAGAGCUUUUCCAUGCAGCUUUGGAAUCUAUAUUCCUGUCCGAAGAAACGGCAACUAAGGAGCAGAGAGAAGAUACUGCUAUUUCUGGCUACUUAUCAAGUGUGCAACAUGUCUUGAAAGAUGUCAGCGAAGUGAAAGCUCUGGAAAGCGCAGUUCAGCAUGAGACUCUUCAGUAUCUGGGCCUGGUAGACUGCGUGGCUAAGUAUCGAGGCCAGUUGUGUGUGAUUGACUGGAAAACUUCAGAGAAACCAAAGCCAUCUCUGAAGAACACUUUUGACAACCCAUUACAGAUUGCAGCAUAUAUUGGAGCCAUAAAUCAUGAUGCCAAUUAUGACUUCCAGGUUAGUUGCGGACUCAUUGUGGUUGCCUACAAGAAUGGCUACCCUGCGCAUCCCCAUUUCAUGGAUCCUGAUCUGUGCUCGCAGUACUGGAAUAAGUGGCUUUUGCGCCUGGAAGAGUACAAGGACAGGAACUGACCAAAACUAAGCUAUGCAUCAGAGGUUUUCAACCCUAAUAAAAAAAGGUUUCUUAACAGGCCAUGUGGCCCACGUGGAAGAACUGCGUGUGUGAACAGGCUCUGUACCUCCGGUUGUGAGACUGCAGGCCAAGUCUGCGGCUGCCCUGAGCUCUCCUGACUUCACUGCGGGUCUGAGCCGACAAGGAGCCCCCCGUGUGGAACGAUCUCCAGUAUCGAGUUCGAGUGUUUGCCCACGCGAGUUUAAAUUGAUGUAAAACCUGUUUAGCAGCUGUGUCCACUAAGUCAAGAGACAGAUGAAUAGCAAGUGCUUGGACCUGAGUACCUCGUGGUUGCUGAGGAAAUUACCA